UUCAGCAACGGAAGCCACUUUAUAUAAACCCUGCCCUGAUUCAGGAUCCUAGCUGGGAGCAACUCCCUUCCAGGGUCCCCUGACUCAAAAGCAAGGAAAUGGGAAAGGCGAAAAGUCCUAGAACAAAGCCAUCUUUUGCGUCUCAACACCGAGAACAGAAGCGUGGGGGGCCGACAGCGAAGGGCCUAACGUCCAAGCACUCACCUGCGCGGGGUCCCGCAGCGCCGCCGCUGCCAUCGGAGUCUGUGGCUCAGCCGGCAGAGAGAAGAAAAGCAGCUGGACAUUGGAGACUAUGGUUGGAUGUUGGAGAGAAGCAGGCUGACUUCAAAGGGACAGCUUGACAGCGUAGCUUUGGAGAGGAUGGCCAGGGAUGGCCAAACUUCAGGGGACGAUUACCUUCCUGCUCCAUCCCCUUUUCAGCUCCUCUUCCUGCUGAGAGCCACUUUCACCGGCAAUAAAAUCCCCUGCAUUUACCAUC